UGGAUCGAUGAUGAUAAAUGCCAGUGCAUGAGUCAUCGAUGACGAAUAUGUGUCUGGAACUCUGAGGUCCAA
ensembl:snoRNA